rnacentral:ncRNA from 1 species
AUGCGCGAGUCAGGAGAGAGUUCCCGCGCUCGCGAGCCCGGGAGCCGCCGAAGGCGCAGUGGCAUCCCCCCGUAGCGGUCAAUCCCAUCGGGACCGUGCUGCGAACGCUCAGGCAAAAGGACUGGCAAGACGUU